rnacentral:rRNA from 1 species
GACGAACGCUGGCGGCGUGCUUAACACAUGCAAGUCGAACGCUGAAGCCCUUUCGGGGGUGGAUGAGUGGCGAACGGGUGAGUAACACGUGGGUAAUCUGCCCUGUACUUCGGGAUAAGCCUUGGAAACGGGGUCUAAUACCGGAUAGGACCUGUCCUCGCAUGGGGGUGGGUGGAAAGUUCCGGCGGUAUGGGAUGAGCCCGCGGCCUAUCAGCUUGUUGGUGGGGUAGUGGCCUACCAAGGCGACGACGGGUAGCCGGGCUGAGAGGGGGACGGGCCAGACGGGGACUGAGACACGGCCCAGAGUCCUACGGGAGGCAGCAGUGGGGAAUCUUGCGCAAUGGGCGAAAGCCUGACGCGGCAACGCCGCGUGGGGGAUGACGGCCUUCGGGUUGUAAACCUCUUUCGACAUCGACGGAGGGGCCCUGUUGUGGGGUUUUGACGGUAGGUGUAGAAGAAGCACCGGCUAACUACGUGCCAGCAGCCGCAGUAA